rnacentral:tRNA from 1 species
ACCUGGGUGGCUCGGUCGGUUGAGCGUCUGACUUCGGCUCAGGUCAUGAUCUUGCAGUGUGUGAGUUCAAGCCCCGCCUCGGGCU